CUCCUCGUACACGGGAGUCCGGGCGGAACCGGACUGAGAGGGAGCGUGCCGCGCUCCGACCGUCGAACCUGAUCCGGGUCAUGCCGGCGCUAGGGAGCACAUCAUGGGAUCUC
rnacentral:ncRNA from 2 species